rnacentral:rRNA from 1 species
UACGUAGGGUGCGAGCGUUAAUCGGAAUUACUGGGCGUAAAGGGCGCGUAGGCGGGCGCACAAGUCAGGGGUGAAAGCCCACGGCUCAACCGUGGAAGUGCCUUUGAUACUGUGUGUCUUGAGGGAGGUAGGGGCGUGCGGAACUUCCGGUGGAGCGGUGAAAUGCGUAGAUAUCGGAAGGAACACCGGUGGCGAAAGCGGCGCGCUGGACCUCUACUGACGCUGAGGCGCGAAAGCCAGGGGAGCAAACGGG